rnacentral:rRNA from 1 species
UACAGAGGGGGCAAGCGUUAUUCGGAAUUAUUGGGCGUAAAGGGCGCGUAGGCGGCUAUUCAAGUGGCGGGUGAAAUCCCUCGGCUUAACCGAGGAACUGCCUGCCAGACUGGAUGGCUUGAGACCGGGAGAGGUGAGUGGAAUUCCCAGUGUAGCGGUGAAAUGCGUAGAUAUUGGGAAGAACACCGGUGGCGAAGGCGGCCAUCUGGACCGCAACUGACGCUGAGGCGCGAAAGCGUGGGGAGCAAACAGG